UUGAAAGGGAAACGAUUGAAGUCAGUCGUACCAGCGGGAAAUCAACCUUUCGAGUGGGGGUUUUGGAGUUUUGAAGAGUGUCAAAACCUUUGAGAUUUCAAAAUUUUCGCUCUUUUGGUGUACUUUCUCGUGGGUAGGUUAACAUCGAUUUUGAUCAUCAUAAAAAGAUUGGAGGAAUGUAGCUUCGAUCUUGUAUUGAAGUGUUAUAGCCUUUGGUAAAUGUGAUGAUUAGGAUCGAGGAUUGCAACGAAUACCCUUUUGGGCUAUCCGCCUGAUCUCUGAUACGUGGCCUUGGUAUCGAAAGCUUGCUUAUGGUAUUAAGGUAUUACGGUCAAAAGGUUAGAACGGAUUACAUUCGUUAAGGAUGUUGACGUA
rnacentral:rRNA from 1 species